rnacentral:rRNA from 1 species
GAGUUUGAUCAUAGCUCAGAUUGAACGCUGGCGGCAGGCCUAACACAUGCAAGUCGAACGGUAACAGGAAGAAGCUUGCUUCUUUGCUGACGAGUGGCGGACGGGUGAGUAAUGUCUGGGAAACUGCCUGAUGGAGGGGGAUAACUACUGGAAACGGUAGCUAAUACCGCAUAACGUCGCAAGACCAAAGAGGGGGACCUUCGGGCCUCUUGCCAUCGGAUGUGCCCAGAUGGGAUUAGCUAGUAGGUGGGGUAACGGCUCACCUAGGCGACGAUCCCUAGCUGGUCUGAGAGGAUGACCAGCCACACUGGAACUGAGACACGGUCCAGACUCCUACGGGAGGCAGCAGUGGGGAAUAUUGCACAAUGGGCGCAAGCCUGAUGCAGCCAUGCCGCGUGUAUGAAGAAGGCCUUCGGGUUGUAAAGUACUUUCAGCGGGGAGGAAGGGAGUAAAGUUAAUACCUUUGCUCAUUGACGUUACCCGCAGAAGAAGCACCGGCUAACUCCGUGCCAGCAGCCGCGGUAAUACGGAGGGUGCAAGCGUCAAUCGGAAUUACUGGGCGUAAAGCGCACGCAGGCGGUUUGUUAAGUCAGAUGUGAAAUCCCCGGGCUCAACCUGGGAACUGCAUCUGAUACUGGCAAGCUUGAGUCUCGUAGAGGGGGGUAGAAUUCCAGGUGUAGCGGUGAAAUGCGUAGAGAUCUGGAGGAAUACCGGUGGCGAAGGCGGCCCCCUGGACGAAGACUGACGCUCAGGUGCGAAAGCGUGGGGAGCAAACAGGAUUAGAUACCCUGGUAGUCCACGCCGUAAACGAUGUCGACUUGGAGGUUGUGCCCUUGAGGCGUGGCUUCCGGAGCUAACGCGUUAAGUCGACCGCCUGGGGAGUACGGCCGCAAGGUUAAAACUCAAAUGAAUUGACGGGGGCCCGCACAAGCGGUGGAGCAUGUGGUUUAAUUCGAUGCAACGCGAAGAACCUUACCUGGUCUUGACAUCCACAGAACUUUCCAGAGAUGGAUUGGUGCCUUCGGGAACUGUGAGACAGGUGCUGCAUGGCUGUCGUCAGCUCGUGUUGUGAAAUGUUGGGUUAAGUCCCGCAACGAGCGCAACCCUUAUCUUUUGUUGCCAGCGGUCCGGCCGGGAACUCAAAGGAGACUGCCAGUGAUAAACUGGAGGAAGGUGGGGAUGACGUCAAGUCAUCAUGGCCCUUACGACCAGGGCUACACACGUGCUACAAUGGCGCAUACAAAGAGAAGCGACCUCGCGAGAGCAAGCGGACCUCAUAAAGUGCGUCGUAGUCCGGAUUGGAGUCUGCAACUCGACUCCAUGAAGUCGGAAUCGCUAGUAAUCGUGGAUCAGAAUGCCACGGUGAAUACGUUCCCGGGCCUUGUACACACCGCCCGUCACACCAUGGGAGUGGGUUGCAAAAGAAGUAGGUAGCUUAACCUUCGGGAGGGCGCUUACCACUUUGUGAUUCAUGACUGGGGUGAAGUCGGAACAAGGUAACCGUAGGGGAACCUGCGGUUG